AGUAAUAUUCCAAAGUUUCGUUGCGAAAUGUUGUAAAAUGCGGAUAACAUAGCCAUGCGAAGUUUGCCGUUUUUUUCAGUCAUUUUGUAUUACGCACGGGAAAUUGACAGCCCAAUCGGGUGUUGGGGCAUCAAUUUCCCGUUUGUAAUGCAAAAUGACUGAAAAUUGCAAACUUCGCAAGGCUAUAGUAUCCGCAUUUUACAACAUUUCGCAACGAAACUUUGGAAUAUUACUAAUUUUGUGGUGCUCUUUCAAGCUGUGAUGAAAUUUUUGUCUAGAUCAAAAUUUAGUCUAUAAUGCAAAUGGUCCAUUG